rnacentral:rRNA from 1 species
GUAGUCCACGCCGUAAACGAUGGGCACUAGGUGCUUGGGGGAGCGACCCCCUGAGUGCCGACGCUAACGCAUUAAGUGCCCCGCCUGGGGAGUACGACCGCAAGGUUGAAACUCAAAGGAAUUGACGGGGGCCCGCACAAGCGGUGGAGCAUGUGGUUUAAUUCGACGCAACGCGAAGAACCUUACCUAGGCUUGACAUGGCCGUGAAUGUCCGGGGAAACCCAGGCAGCUCUUCGGAGCGCGGUCACAGGUGCUGCAUGGCUGUCGUCAGCUCGUGUCGUGAGAUGUUGGGUUAAGUCCCGCAACGAGCGCAACCCUCGUCGCUAGUUACCAGCGCGUCAUGGCGGGGACUCUAGCGAGACUGCCGGUGCCAAACCGGA